rnacentral:rRNA from 1 species
CACGUAGGGCGGCAAGCGUUGUCCGGAAUUUAUUGGGGCGUAAAGAGCUCGUAGGCGGUCUGUUGCGUCCGCCUGUAGGAAAACUCGGGGCCUUAACCCCGAGCCUGCAGUGGAUACGGGCAGACUAGAGGUAGGUAGGGGAGAAUGGAAUUCCCGGUGUAGCGGUGAAAUGCGCAGAUAUCGGGAGGAACACCGGUGGCGAAGGCGGUCUAGCUGGGCCUUACCUGACGCUGAGAGCGAAGCGUGGGGAGCGAACGGAAUAGAGUACCCGGUAG